rnacentral:tRNA from 1 species
GCCGGAGUGGCGAAAUGGCAGACGCGGCGGAUUCAAAAUCCGCUACCCUCAAAAGUGUGCGGGUUCGAGUCCCGCCUCCGGCA